rnacentral:rRNA from 1 species
AUUGAACGCUGGCGGCAUGCCUUACACAUGCAAGUCGAACGGCAGCACGGGAGCAAUCCUGGUGGCGAGUGGCGAACGGGUGAGUAAAGUAUCGGAACGUGCCCAGUCGUGGGGGAUAACGUAGCGACAGUUACGCUAAUACCGCAUACGAUCUAUGGAUGAAAGCGGGGGAUCGCAAGACCUCGCGCGAUUGGAGCGGCCGAUAUCAGAUUAGGUAGUUGGUGGGGUAAAGGCUCACCAAGCCGACGAUCUGUAGCUGGUCUGAGAGGACGACCAGCCACACUGGGACGGAGACACGGCCCAGACUCCUACGGGAGGCAGCAGUGGGGAAUUUUGGACAAUGGGCGAAAGCCUGAUCCAGCCAUGCCGCGUGCAGGAUGAAGGCCUUCGGGUUGUAAACUGCUUUUGUACGGAACGAAAAGGUUUGGCCUAAUAAGCUGAGCCCAUGACGGUACCGUAAGAAUAAGCACCGGCUAACUACGUGCCAGCCGCCGCCGUAA